GUAAUAUAGUAAUGUAAUUGAAUAUCAGUAUUCAUUGAGGGAAUGUGGUUAGAUGCCACAGCAGCCCCCGCUACUGUAACCAUGGACGACAAAUAGAUAUACCACUGAGAAAUUUUUAUAAAUUUUCUUGGGAAGGUUAUUUGAAGGAUGAAGUGGAAGCCAGGAUAUCUUAAUGAAUAUGGGGUUUAU
rfam:Clostridium cavendishii DSM 21758 genome assembly, contig: EJ30DRAFT_scaffold00006.6